rnacentral:tRNA from 1 species
AAGGGUAUAGCUCAGUGGUAGAACGCAGGCUUAGAUGCACAAGGUCCUGGGUUCAAUCCCCAGUACCUUCA